GACUAGGGUUUUCAAUUUGUCAGAGCUAAUGGUGGGUGGCUUCGGUGUCUCAGACCCCGUAACGGGAGGAGGAGAGACCAGAGAAGGCUCGUUCUAUGACUCCGACUUCUUGCUUAACGGGGAGAACUGGUUGAAAAUUUCUGUCGGCUGAAUGAGCGACACCGGUUGAGCAUUCCUACAGCAUUUCCUUCCAGAAGCCUUGAGAAAACUGUUCGGCUGCGCGGAUUGUGCGAGGGGAUUUAUACUAUUGUACUUAUUGGUGGCACAAGGGCUCUUUCAUCCUUUCCUACACUUAAAUUACAAUUGCCUAACGAUUGCAUUUGAAGCUGGGCUUGCAGCACGGCUAUCAUCACCAUAAGGUGAUCGUUCUCCUGUAUAUUAUGAGUACAGCGACUGCAAUUAGAAGGCAUAAUGUUAAUGUUACUACUUAGCUUCGUCUGGUGGAGGUCAUGUAGAACCAUGUCCAGAUAAAGCGUCCGGAGUGAAAAAGUUUAAUUUAAAAAAGUUGAGCGAGGGGAACAUUUUUAAAAUAUAAAACGUUAAUUAAAAAGUAAAAACUGUGAAGUUGGCAGGUUGCAAAGUAACGUUAGCAACAAACCGUGCAGCAGCAGGUAAAGUUCACAAGUUGUGACCGGAAAUUACAAAUCUGUCGUUUCUCUUUGCUUAUUUGAGUUGUUCUUGCCAUAAUGUGGACUUGGUCUUUUACCAAAUAGGGCUAUCUUCUGUAUACCAACCAACCCUACCUUGUCACAACACAACUGAUUGGCUCAAACAGAUUAAGAAGGAAAGAAAUUCCACAAAUUAACUGUUUAACAAGGCACACCUGACCUCUUAAGGAUCGGAUACUUCAUCUCAAAUUCCGUCUAAAAUGACAGACCCAAAUCUAAAUCAAGUGGAGGACAUGAAGCAAGAACAUGAAUAUUCUUGAUACUAUUUGAAAUGAAACACUUUGAAGUUUGUGGAAAUGUGAAAUUAAUGUAGGAGAAUAUAACACAUAUCUGGUGAAAGUCAAAGCAAACAAACAUGUUUUCUAUAUAUUUUUUUUGCAUCAUCUUUGCAAUGCAAAGAAAGGCCAUACAUUUACCUAGGAAGCUGGGUGUAAUUGUGAUGUUGUCCACAAAAGGGUGGCAUUGUAUGUGCAAAGUUUCAGACUGAUAUGUUCAAGAAUGAGAGCUUAACUUUAUAUUUUGUAUCAAGUCUCCCAGGUGUCCCUCACGAGUUUGCCCAGAUGUACACAAGUGGCCGAAUUGGUCACUUGAUGCAUUUCCAAACAUUUAAGUUUACACUGACAAUGUCACUUGAUAAUUUAAAUCACUCAAGGAUAUGGUGGAAGCCUCCAACACGUCUAUCUUAAAACUCUCAAAUGACAUUUCCAGCCAAUCGGUCACAUGCAAGUCUCUGGAGCAGCUCUGUGAUGAGAUGCAGGUUAGCGCCAGGGCUACUACAGAUGACGUAGCCACCUGCCGAGAUGCAGUGAAGCAACUGCGAGAUAAAAUUACGUUGCAUGAAGACAGAGAGAAGAGAGUGAACAUACGUCUUGUGGGUCUGAAAGAAACGGCAGAAGGUUCUGACCCAAAAGGUUUUCUUCAGGAGAAUCUACCAAAAUGGAUACCGUUGCUACAGUGGUUCCUCCUUUAAAAACGAAUCAACCGUGGCCCUUGAGCAAUUUGCUCAAAAUCUCUACAGAAAAAAAGGAAGGAGAUCACGCAAGCCGAGUCCCAAGCAUCCGCUCAAACUCCAUGUGUGGGGGGAAAUUUCUCUCCAGGCAAUUUCUCGUCAGGCACCAGGCCCAUAUUGGAUUUUUGAUGAUAUCAUGGCUCGAGAUUUCUUUGAGGACUGUCAGAGAGGUGUUUAUGGGUACACAUCGUUUCUUUCGAGACAAUGACAUAAAACACGGGUUUGCAUUGCAAAUGAGGCCAUAAACUGGGUCAAGUCGCCAGCAGAGUCUCCUGAUUUAAACCCGAUCGAACUUGUUUGGCAUCAACUGAAAACAUUCAUCCGGAACUCUGCCAUGCCGACAGGCAAAGAUGAACUGGUCAAGGCCAUCAAGAUGUUUUGGCUAGAGAAAUUGAUGAUACAACAAUGCAACAAAUACAUUGGGGGAAAAAGUAUAUUGUCCUGUCAGUAGGAAACAUUUGCAUGAUGGGCUACAUUGUACA